UACGUAGGUGGCAAGCGUUGUCCGGAAUUAUUGGGCGUAAAGCGCGCGCAGGCGGUCCUUUAAGUCUGAUGUGAAAGCCCACGGCUCAACCGUGGAGGGUCAUUGGAAACUGGGGGACUUGAGUACAGAAGAGAAGAGUGGAAUUCCACGUGUAGCGGUGAAAUGCGCAGAUAUCAGGAGGAACACCGGUGGCGAAGGCGGUUCUCUGGGCAUUACCUGACGCUGAGGAGCGAAAGCGUGGGGAGCAAACAGG
rnacentral:rRNA from 1 species